CCGGGUGAGAAUCACAAUACCUUAUUACUUCGGCCCGCCAGUCAAUAGCCCAUGGGCCGUGGGGAACUGGAACCCUAAUUCCCCAACUCUGCCCUCAGCGGCUAUAAGUGUCAUCCCUCGCCGCCUGACUUCCUCGUCCUCGAUUCAUUGCAUAAUCUUCUCUUUCUAUUUCCUCUCUCCCAACUCCCCUCGUCCGGAUCUCCGAACAUGGCGACUCAGUUUAGCAAGAAGCUGAAGUUCGUUGCAGAUGGAGCUUAUCUGAAAGAGGUUCUGACCCGGGCGUUGAUAUGCGCGUGAGGCUGGUGCGAAUGAAGAUCGUGAUCCCAGCCACCAGGACGUAGAAUGUACAUGGCACAGACACUUUUUUUCGAUUCUAAUAGAGGUCUGCUUGGCCUUCCAGUUAGGCGACAGACUAUUGUGGUAACAGAGAUGGUAACUAUCGCAAUAAAGCCUGGAUGGAAAAAAGGUGCCAAUAUAAUUUCCCCAACAAAGGAAAUCAACAAGUGAACCAGCUCCCGGCUGAUGUUGUCUUCAUAAUUAAUGAGAAGCCACAUGGUGUGUAGACAAUGAUCCAAGUCCGCUAUACAGUCUUAGGUUGACUCACUCUCAUGCACUAUGAUAUACCUGAAGAUCCUUGAUGGUCGCCGUCCUGGGCUACAAACUCAUAAUUGCAAAUGAGGUUUGGGAAAGAAAGGCAAUUGAUUGUUGAAAUCAAUGUGAAGUUCCCAUUAAGCUUGAAAUUUGAUCUCAGCGAGCUGGUAUUAGACAUGCUCUAAUUGUGGAUCAUGGUAUUAGACAUGCUCUAUGGAAGGUCUUCUAGUGCAAGUAUUUAGACCAUCCAGAAUGUCAGCUCUAAUUGUGGAUCAUGUGUCAAAUAAAACUAGCUCCCUUUCAUUCCUUUUAUUAAUGUUGGGAGUGACUCCCUAAAUGUUCUUUUUAUUUUUGAUAAUGUUCUUUUAAAAAAAUAAUAUGUGAUUCAUAAAAAGAAUUAUCAUGUAGCUUGUGGAUUUUCUCUUAGUUCGUGUAUGUUAGAUUCACUUGUAUGCUUCUUUGCCGAAGUGGCUUUCAAUUAUUGAUGCUUAA